rnacentral:rRNA from 1 species
AGAGUUUGAUCCUGGCUCAGGACGAACGCUGGCGGCGCGCCUAACACAUGCAAGUCGAACGAGCGAGAGAGAGCUUGCUUUCUCAAGCGAGUGGCGAACGGGUGAGUAACGCGUGAGGAACCUGCCUCAAAGAGGGGGACAACAGUUGGAAACGACUGCUAAUACCGCAUAAGCCCACAGCUCGGCAUCGAGCAGAGGGAAAAGGAGCAAUCCGCUUUGAGAUGGCCUCGCGUCCGAUUAGCUAGUUGGUGAGGUAACGGCCCACCAAGGCGACGAUCGGUAGCCGGACUGAGAGGUUGAACGGCCACAUUGGGACUGAGACACGGCCCAGACUCCUACGGGAGGCAGCAGUGGGGAAUAUUGCACAAUGGGGGAAACCCUGAUGCAGCGACGCCGCGUGGAGGAAGAAGGUCUUCGGAUUGUAAACUCCUGUUGUUGAGGAAGAUAAUGACGGUACUCAACAAGGAAGUGACGGCUAACUACGUGCCAGCAGCCGCGGUAAAACGUAGGUCACAAGCGUUGUCCGGAAUUACUGGGUGUAAAGGGAGCGCAGGCGGGAAGACAAGUUGGAAGUGAAAUCUAUGGGCUCAACCCAUAAACUGCUUUCAAAACUGUUUUUCUUGAGUAGUGCAGAGGUAGGCGGAAUUCCCGGUGUAGCGGUGGAAUGCGUAGAUAUCGGGAGGAACACCAGUGGCGAAGGCGGCCUACUGGGCACCAACUGACGCUGAGGCUCGAAAGUGUGGGUAGCAACAGGAUUAGAUACCCUGGUAGUCCACACCGUAAACGAUGAUUACUAGGUGUUGGAGGAUUGACCCCUUCAGUGCCGCAGUUAACACAAUAAGUAAUCCACCUGGGGAGUACGACCGCAAGGUUGAAACUCAAAGGAAUUGACGGGGGCCCGCACAAGCAGUGGAGUAUGUGGUUUAAUUCGACGCAACGCGAAGAACCUUACCAAGUCUUGACAUCCCUUGACGAACAUAGAAAUAUGUUUUCUCUUCGGAGCAAGGAGACAGGUGGUGCAUGGUUGUCGUCAGCUCGUGUCGUGAGAUGUUGGGUUAAGUCCCGCAACGAGCGCAACCCUUACUGUCAGUUACUACGCAAGAGGACUCUGGCAGGACUGCCGUUGACAAAACGGAGGAAGGUGGGGAUGAUGUCAAAUCAUCAUGCCCUUUAUGACUUGGGCUACACACGUACUACAAUGGCGUUAAACAAAGAGAAGCAAGACCGCGAGGUGGAGCAAAACUCAGAAACAACGUCCCAGUUCGGACUGCAGGCUGCAACUCGCCUGCACGAAGUCGGAAUUGCUAGUAAUCGUGGAUCAGCAUGCCACGGUGGAUACGUUCCCGGGCCUUGUACACACCGCCCGUC